rnacentral:tRNA from 1 species
GGAGGGUUGCGCCGAAUGGUAAGGCACCAGUUUGCUAAACUGUGACCCUGAAAGGGGUCUUGUGGGUUCGAGUCCCACACCCUCCG